rnacentral:rRNA from 1 species
ACGAACCGUGCAAACGUUGUUCGGAAUCACUGGGCUUAAAGGGCGCGUAGGCGGGCCAGUCAGUCUGUGGUGAAAGCCUCCAGCUUAACUGGAGAAGUGCCGUGGAUACUGCUGGCCUCGAGGAGGAUAGGGGCUUCUGGAACGGUCGGUGGAGCGGUGAAAUGCGUAGAUAUCGAGAGGAACACCUGCGGCGAAGGCGGGUUGCUGGGCUGACACUGACGCUGAGGCGCGAAAGCCAGGGGAGCGAACGGGA